rnacentral:tRNA from 1 species
GGGGCCGUAGCUCAGCCAGGCAGAGCGGCGGGCUCCAGACCCGUAGGGCGGGGGUUCAGGCGGAGACCGCCCACAAAUCCCUCCGGCCCCACCA